ACAUGCCGUUCUAGACUCUUGGAAAAACAAUUUUUUUUCAUCGAGGUUACCUUCGCUUUUAUUUGUAAUGUGAAGAAUAACAUUUUACCGUCCAAAUUAAUGCGUGUCACAUAGCGGCGUUGGUCCGAUCGUUUGCAUUUGAUUCUCCAUCCUGUUGCCCUAGCGAUACAUCGCCCGCAUGCUGAUGUUUUUGCUGUUGCAGCAGCAGCUGCACGGCAAGUGCCGAUACAAUCAACGGAUGUCUGCGUUCCUGUUUCACCGAGCGCGACAGAUAGUCUGAGCAAGUUAAACUGGUUUAUUUUCCAAGAAUCAACUAACCAAACGAAAUUAUUUUUCAGCCUAUCGAGUCUACAAGGGAAAACCACAUCCAACAACACGUCGAGGAGAGUUUAUUUACCUUCUACCGCCUGCGGCUAGAUACAAGAGACUAUGGAAAUAAGUUUGCCCAUGUUUUUCGGCAAGGUCUACAUCAUGGACUUCAUGCAACAGUCCCAGUUGAAAUAAGAGAGUGUGAAGCAAUCGUCCGAUAUUCGGCAUUAUUUGCGCCAAUCAAUAGUGAUCGUUCGUAACGACUCAAUGUAACAAAAUAGCCUAGAAGGAUAAACCGAUAAACCAUCAGUAGUUGCAGGAACCUCAUUCAUUACUGCUGUCAAGUAUUUGCUAGACGUUAAACAAAAGUGGGGGCCUACGCAACUUGGAAUAUCCAACUCUAGAAUGCCUGCAGUGUUAAGAUUUGUUUUUCAAUAUGUUUUGACACUUCUGUUAUUUUCUUGUUUCUUUUUAUUUAACGUGCCCACCGGCCUCUUUACUAGUCAGUCGUCCCUGCUAUGCUGGAUCUUCCCAGUUCGUCCAUCGACGCCCACCAGCCUCUUCGAAAGAAGUUUGUCCCAAUAUGGAAGUUCGAAAUGGCCCACAACAGUUUUCGGAAUUGGAGGGCUGCCGAGUGACUGAACUGAAAUCGUGAUGGUGGAAUUGCAGCCCGGAUACAUUGCACCCCAUCAUUGGGGAAAAUCCAAUGAAAAAUCCAAGCUAUUGCACGUCCUCCCGGUCAUUAUUUGUUUAUGGAGCG
rnacentral:lncRNA from 1 species